AAUUUCCCAGAGUUCUUAAAUCUUAUUCCCAUCACAACUGCCAGAGCCCCAGAAGCAACUAGAGCAAAAUAUGAAGACAACGCAUGUCUUUGGAUUGGAGGAAGAAAACCGGAGCUCCCGGAGGAAACCCACGCAGACACAGGAAGAACCUGCAAACCCGGACCGCUCCAUCUUGAAAUCGAACCCAGGACCUUCUUGCUGUGAGGCAACAGUGCUACCCACUGAGCCACCAUGCCGCCCAGUUUGGAUCUUUUAAAUCAAUUUUUCGGAUAAAUCUGUCAUUAAUGUAGAUAUGAACAAUAAUCACAUGUAAAUUACAUGUGACACUAAUCAUCGAUUUCUUAAAUAUGUCAAUAUAAAUUUUGUGCUUACA